rnacentral:rRNA from 1 species
AUACGGAGGAUGCGAGCGUUAUCCGGAUUUAUUGGGUUUAAAGGGAGCGUAGGCGGGAGCUUAAGUCAGCGGUUAAAUGGUGCGGCUCAACCGUGCCCUGCCGUUGAAACUGGGUUUCUUGAGAGUGCAAGAGGCGGAUGGAAUUCCUGGUGGAGCGGGUAAAUGCUUAGAUAUCAUGAAGAACUCCGAUUGCGAAGGCAGUCCGCUGGGGCACGUCUGACGCUGAUGCUCGAAGGUGCGGGAAUCAAACAGGAUUAGAUACCCUGGUAGUCCGCACGGUAAACGAUGAUUACCCGCUGUCGGCGGCAGACAGUCGGCGGCCAAGCGAAAGCGAUAAGUAAUCCACCUGGGGAGUACGCCGGCAACGGUGAAACUCAAAGGAAUUGACGGGG